rnacentral:sRNA from 1 species
CGCGCAGCCGGGUAGAGACAUGACGACAGCGGCUGCGGGACACCUGGGACUGUGGGGUAGUGCUCUGAGAAUCCGGGCGGGGUGGCGAAGCUAGAGCCCUGGUGCAAACGUCUGGCGGAG